rnacentral:snRNA from 1 species
UGAACAGCCUGGCAGGGGAGGUAUCAUGAUCACAAAGGGAGUUUUCCCAGGGUGAGACUGAUCCAUUGCGCUUGAGAUCUGCCGACCCCUGCGAUUUCCCCACAUGGGGGAAACUUGACUGUUUCC